GGGCUAUUAUGGAUGAUUAUAUUAAUGUUGUUUAUUCUUCAUUUUUUCUGAGUCAGGAAUACUUAUUCUCCAAAAACUAGCAAAGUGGAUGUGGAUUCGAGCGGAAAGAAGUGUAAAGAGAAAAUGAUGAGCGUACUCUUUGAAACAAAAGGUUACAGGCUGAACACAGAAGGUUUCAGGCAUUUGAAGUCAAAGACUAAUUCAACGUUGGAUGAGCUACAACAUGAAUUUGAGCCGCAGGACUCGCAAAACUGUUCAGUGAGUUUGUGUCGGUUCAGCUGAAGUAAUUCUGAAGCAAGCCCACACAACUGUGACUUAAACUGUCACUGAAUAUAUCGAAUGGAAAAGGAAGAUACAGAAGAUUUGGUGAUGAACAGGUCCUAAAGGUUUUCUGAAGCAAACUGUCACAAAAAAAGCCAUCUCCUUACACAAAGCAUAAGACACUUUUCACAGCAGAACAGAUGUGAUUUUGUUGUGUGCCCUGACAGCAUUUUCUAAGUAACUCUUGAAAGUUUUAACAGUUGAUAUUUAAGAACUAUAGGUCAGGUGUGAAGGGAUUGUUGUUGUUCUUGGAGUUGGAAACCUAAUUUUGCAUAUAUUUCCUGGCUAUUCUGCAUGGGUAUUCAAAAAAAAAAUGGCAUCCUAUUUUCAAACGAGUAAUGCUUACAUAUGGUCUAAAGAGCUUGUGUUUUAAUUUAUUAAUUGAAGAAUAUAAGGAAUGAAGACAUCAUUUUAAACUUCGUUCUUUUUUUUUUUUUUUUUUAGGAAGUGAAGUAAAAUUUCCAGAAGAUCAGUUUUGCCCUUUCAUGAAAGUAGAGUUUCAUCUUUCUAUCUUAUAAAUUGGAUUUAAAAAUUCACCUUAGUUCAGAAGAUAGUUUGGGUGGCUACUACAAUACAUAUAAAAACAUACAUUAAAAAACUGCUUUACACACACACACGCACACACACACACCACACACACAUGUGUGUGUGUGUGUUGUGUGUGUGCUGUUCAGCUUUCUUCGGGUAUUAUCCCACGUCAUGACGUGGAUAAUACCCGAAGGAAGCUGAACAGCACACAUGUAAGUACCCGCCGAAAACUUAAAAAAACCAAAUAUAUGUGCUGUUCAUCUUCCUUUCGGGUAUUAUCCACGUCAUUGUAGUGCUUUUAAAGUUGUAGCAACGUUCAGCAGAAUCUCAUCUG
rnacentral:lncRNA from 1 species